GAUGAACGCUGGCGGCGUGCCUAAUACAUGCAAGUCGAGCGAAGCGGGGACGGGUGAGUAAGACGUGGAUAACCUCCUAUAAGACUGGGAUAACUUCGGGAAACAGUAGCUAAACCGGAUACUUAGAGAUGGAUCCUCGCUGCAUUAGCUAGUUGGUAAGGUAACGGCUUACAAAGGCAACUAUGCAUAGCCGACCUGAGAGGGUGAUCGGCCACACUGGAACUGAGACACGGCCCAGACUCCUACGGGAGGCAGCAGUAGGGAAUCUUCGGCAAUGGGCGAAAGCCGGACGGAGCAACGCCGCGUGAGUGAUGAAGGUCUUCGGAUCGUAAAACUCUGUUAUUAGGGAAGCGGUACCUAAUCAGAAAGCCACGGCUAACUACGUGCCAGCAGCCGCGGUAAUUC
rnacentral:rRNA from 1 species